GACGAACGCUGGCGGCGUGCUUAACACAUGCAAGUCGAACGGAAAGGCCCUGCUUUUGUGGGGUGCUCGAGUGGCGAACGGGUGAGUAACACGUGAGUAACCUGCCCUUGACUUUGGGAUAACUUCAGGAAACUGGGGCUAAUACCGGAUAGGAGCUCCUGCUGCAUGGUGGGGGUUGGAAAGUUUCGGCGGUUGGGGAUGGACUCGCGGCUUAUCAGCUUGUUGGUGGGGUAGUGGAUUACCAAGGCUUUGACGGGUAGCCGGCCUGAGAGGGUGACCGGCCACAUUGGGACUGAGAUACGGCCCAGACUCCUACGUGAGGCAGCAGUGGGGAAUAUUGCACAAUGGGCGGAAGCCUGAUGCAGCAACGCCGCGUGCGGGAUGACGGCCUUCGGGUUGUAAACCGCUUUCGCCUGUGACGAAGCGUGAGUGACGGUAAUGGGUAAAGAAGCACCGGCUAACUACGUG
rnacentral:rRNA from 1 species